rnacentral:rRNA from 1 species
AUUGAACGCUGGCGGCAGGCCUAACACAUGCAAGUCGAGCGGAUGAAGGGAGCUUGCUCCUGGAUUCAGCGGCGGACGGGUGAGUAAUGCCUAGGAAUCUGCCUGGUAGUUGGGGAUAACGUCAGGAAACGGGCGCUAAUACCGCAUACGUCCUGAGGGAGAAAGUGGGGGAUCUUCGGACCUCACGCUAUCAGAUGAGCCUAGGUCGGAUUAGCUAGUUGGUGGGGUAAAGGCCUACCAAGGCGACGAUCCGUAACUGGUCUGAGAGGAUGAUCAGUCACACUGGAACUGAGACACGGUCCAGACUCCUACGGGAGGCAGCAGUGGGGAAUAUUCGACAAUGGGCGAAAGCCUGAUCCAGCCAUGCCGCGUGUGUGAAGAAGGUCUUCGGAUUGUAAAGCACUUUAAGUUGGGAGGAAGGGCAGUAAGUUAAUACCUUGCUGUUUUGACGUUACCAACAGAAUAAGCACCGGCUAACUUCGUG